rnacentral:lncRNA from 1 species
AAUUCAAGAGAAGGAGGUUGCUCUAGAAGACUCUAAGGCUUCACCAAGAUUGAUCACUUAUCUUUACAUAGUAAAUGCUGAAGAACAAGGCUUGGAGCCAUUAAACAAGGCUGAUCCACGUGGAGAUGCUAUUUAGGCCCAUUUCGUGGGUACUUUUGGGCUUGAGUCUUGUUGUGUUCCUAAUUACUUGUACAUGAAGUUUUGACUUGUCAACUCAUUUUUUCUAAGUUAUUCAUGUACUUCAUAGUUAGGAACCUUGAAAGUUGUGUCAUUUAUUAUUUUGAAGUUGUAACUUGGAAGUUGUGAUUUGGAAAACGUUUUUUACUUAUUGUCUUGGAAAGGGGAUGAUGUCCUUUCCAAUACCUUAGUUUGAAGCCUAUAUAAAGGCUGCCAUAUGUAACCAUAGGAUUAUGAAUGAAUUAAAGUGUUGGCAAGCUUUGCUAUUCUCUCUUGUGUUCUUGGAUUAGAAUACAAAAUUCUGACUUAUCAAAGGAAGUGAUCUACCUUUGUGGCGUCUUCAAGGAUUAGGGUUUUAAGGACUUAGUUGCCUUAGAGUUCUAAUCUAAUCUCCUACAACUUAUUUUCUAGCGAUCUCGGGGCAAGUAUAGCAAAUUGAUUCAAGGGUUCCUAGGGCAGGUCUCCUGGUGGGUUCUUGUCACUUCUCCCUUCUUUCUCAUACAAGGCUCGGAUCCACCUCCACUAUCGGCUAGGCCUACCCUCUAAGUGGAAACUCACUAGGGUCACCUGAUCAGCCUGUGAAAUAUUAUAAAAAUCAAAGUAUUGAUCUGCCUUAUCAAACCACUCAUAUGGAUCUCCUCCAAACUUUGGAAAAUCAAUUUUGGAUUUCUUAAACCCUUCUUCUCUAGGCCGUGGACCCUUAUAGUUAUCAUCUCCAAAGUCAUCACCCCGCCUGUUUCUUCCUCUUCUUGCCAUGGGUUCUCUCCGGCCGUGAGGCCUUUGAGCAUGAAAGGAUCAUUCUUCGGGUUCAUUAUCGGCCUCAUCAUGAUUUUUAUGGCCAUUGCUAACCUACUUAUUAUCAAGCCACCUCUCAAAUACUAAACCCUCGGCUUCAACGCUUCCUCCCCUUCGUGAAUGGUGCCUAACGCCAUAAUCUACAUCAUGUGUACCCUAGACACUAAAGACAUCACUCUCAUACCUUGCCCGACCCUGCCGUGUGGCAAGUGACCUAGGCACUUCUUCUUGCACCCUCUUAUGUUCCCUCUCU